AUGAGGUGGAAACGGACAGAGCUGGCGUAUCUGGCCUGUAUUCAGCCGUGCGUCCGUUGGCGUCAGGGAUGCCGCUCUCCAGAUUGGGACGGUGGCCUGUCUGCUGGCGGAUGUGUGGUGCAUUUGCAGGUGGAGUGCGCUGAGGCGCUCGGGUCAGCGGCAUGAGCUCAGUGUUGAGGCCAGCCCCUCACGGGGUCUGGUACCCGCAUUGUGGGGAGUGCUGUUUGUCCUGGGUGUGUGGAGGGCAAUGGUUUCGGGUUCGUGUGGGUGCCGAGCUGGCAGUCGGUGGCGGUCGCGUGCGACACGUGCCAGCGGUCAGUUCGGUCCUGCUCGAGCUCUCAUCUGCUCGUCCUCGGUGUAAAAGCCGGUCAUCUGUCCGACCCGUCUUGAAACACGGACCAAGGAGUUUAGCGUGUGCGCGAGUCAUUGGGCGUUGAAAACCCAAAGGCGCAAUGAAAGUGAAGGUCUCCCUUGCGGAGCUGAUGUGUGAUCCUGGGCACUGCGGUGCACACCGGGCGCAACAUAGUCCCGUCCCGAUCGCUUGCGAUGGGGCGGAGACAGAGC
rnacentral:rRNA from 1 species